rnacentral:lncRNA from 1 species
AUUCAUAGAAAGGCAGAUGGGAGCAGAAAAUGUUGCAAUGAAGAAUAUGGAAUGAGAUGAGAUCACAGCAUCAGUCUGUCCUUUGUAGAUCUGGACAAUGAUCACAGAGCCAGAUUGGAUUAGUGAAACCUAUUUACCAGAAGUUCAGAGCGGUUGCAUGAAGCUGAAAGGCAGUCAGUAGGGAGAGGUGGAAAAUGCACCAGAUUUACAGCUGCAGCGAUGAAAAUUUAGAAGUUUUCACUGUGAUUUCUUCCAAAUCAUGUAGUCCUGCCCGAAGACGAGCCAAAGCUUCACAGCACAUCCUUGCAAAGAGUGUGGUGGCCAUACCAGAGCACCGGUCCCACCAAGACCAUCUCCUGCGAGUGCUGUACAAGGAGGAGGCACGGGGCAGCCCAGGGCAGCGCAGAGCCAGCCCCAGCAAGAGCACUGCCCAGCACCCU